CUCUUCUUCGGAGACAUCUGAUAGGAACAAUUUAGAGAAGAUUAGCAUGGCACUUGCGCAAGGAUGACAUGCACAAAUCGAGAAAUAUAAACUUUUUGC